GGUCCUGUGGCCCAAUGGAUAAGUCGCCUGACUACGAAUCAGGAGAUUCUAGGUUCGAGUCCUGGCAGGAUCG
rfam:Ciona savignyi cont_17357, whole genome shotgun sequence.